CUAUUAUUAUUCCUUGUUUCUCAAUAUAUAUUGUUCAAUUCCUUAUCUCUUUUACAAUUAAUUUCAAGAAAACCACACAAAUUUUCUCAGCUCUAUUUUCUUCCAUUCCAAAUUUGCUGAUAUUCAUUCCACCAAGCUAAGAGGGUUGAAGAGAGGGAACCGAGGAGAUCAUUAUUGGUCUUGUGCAAGAAUAGGUUCUCAUUAUAAGAUGGUAGUGCACAGUGGUGGGUGCCAUUGCAAGAGAAUAAGAUGGGAAGUGGAAGCAGCAAGCAGUGUCACAGCUUGGGAUUGCAAUUGUUCAAACUGCUCCAUGAGAGGCAAUACGCAUUUCACUGUGCCUUCUCAGCAUUUUAAGCUUUUGGGAAAUUCAGACAAGUUUAUAUCAACAUACACUUUUGGGACUCAUACUGCAAAGCACACCUUUUGCAAAGUUUGUGGGAUCACUUCCUUUUACCAUUCACGCUCAACCCCAGAUGGGGUUUCAGUUAGUUUCAGAUGUGUUGAUCCUGGCACGUUGACCCAUGUUGAGAUUAAAAAGUUUGAUGGUAGAAAUUGGGAUCAAGCACAUAAUCGUCGUUUGUCAAACAACUAGUUGUAAAAUAUGGCCUUCUUUUUCUCCAAGGGUUAAGUGAAAAUUAUGUUGAAUUUCGUUUGAUAUGUAUGUUUGCUAUAAUAUAAAGGUUUUUUCAAUCUUCAGGAGUGUUGAAGAGAUUGAAAAAAAAAGAAGAGAGAGGCUUUUAUUAAGAAAAUACAAAAUUUGACACUUUUGAGUUAAGACUCUUUUCAACGAGAUUUUUAGAGAAAUUUAAUUCGUUGAAUGAACUUGUAUUUGUAUUGAAUUAAGUAUAGUAUGUACAAUGUUUGAUAUUUGAUCCUUUAA